rnacentral:rRNA from 1 species
CCUACGGGUGGCAGCAGUGGGGAAUAUUGCGCAAUGGGCGAAAGCCUGACGCAGCGACGCCGCGUGAGGGAUGAAGGUCUUCGGAUCGUAAACCUCUGUCAGCAGGGAAGAACGGUCACUGUGCUAAUCAGCAGUGAAUUGACGGUACCGGCAAAGGAAGCACCGGCUAACUCCGUGCCAGCAGCCGCGGUAAGACGGAGGGUGCGAGCGUUAAUCGGAAUUACUGGGCGUACAGCGCUCGGAGGCGGUAUGUCAAGUCAAGGGUGAAAUCCCCGCGCGCAACGUGGGAACUGCCUUUGAAACUGGCAACCUGGAGUGUGUGAGAGGCUAGUUGAAUUCCAGGUGUAGUC